GGAUUAGAUACCCUGGUAGUCCACACCGUAAACGCUGUCUACUAGCUGUGUGGUGAUUUUAAAUCGUGCGUAGCGAAGCUAACGCGCUAAGUAGACCGCCUGGGGAGUACGGCCGCAAGGUUAAAACUCAAAUGAAUUGACGGGGGCCCGCACAAGCGGUGGAGCAUGUGGUUUAAUUCGAUGCAACGCGAAGAACCUUACCUACACUUGACAUGCAGAGAACUUUCCAGAGAUGGAUUGGUGCCUUCGGGAACUCUGACACAGGUGCUGCAUGGCUGUCGUCAGCUCGUGUCG
rnacentral:rRNA from 1 species